UACGUAGGAUGCAAGCGUUGUCCGGAAUUAUUGGGCGUAAAGAGCGCGCAGGCGGCCCAUCAAGUCAGAUGUGAAAUAACCAGGCUUAACCUGGUGGGGUCAUUUGAAACUGGCGGGCUAGAGUCCAGCAGAGGAUAGCGGAAUUCCCGGUGUAGUGGUGAAAUGCGUAGAUAUCGGGAGGAACACCAGUGGCGAAGGCGGCUAUCUGGGCUGGAACUGACGCUGAGGCGCGAAAGCUAGGGGAGCGAACAGG
rnacentral:rRNA from 1 species